UACCAGCACCCCGGGUGGUCGGGACGAUUAUUGGGCCUAAAGCAUCCGUAGCCGGUUUUACAAGUCCCCCGUUAAAUCCAGCUGCUUAACAGAUGGGCUGCGGAGGAUACUAUAAGACUAGGAGGCAGGAGAGGCAAGCGGUACUCAGUGGGUAGGGGUAAAAUCCGUUGAUCCAUUGAAGACCACCAGUGGCGAAGGCGGCUUGCCAGAAUGCGCUCGACGGUGAGGGAUGAAAGCUGGGGGAGCAAACCGG
rnacentral:rRNA from 1 species